UACGUAGGGUGCAAGCGUUGUCCGGAAUUAUUGGGCGUAAAGAGCUCGUAGGCGGUUCGUCGCGUCGGCUGUGAAAUCCCGGAGCUCAACUCCGGGUCUGCAGUCGAUACGGGCGGACUUGAGUACUGCAGGGGAGACUGGAAUUCCUGGUGUAGCGGUGAAAUGCGCAGAUAUCAGGAGGAACACCGGUGGCGAAGGCGGUUCUCUGGGCAUGUCCUGACGCUGAGGAGCGAAAGUGUGGGGAGCGAACAGG
rnacentral:rRNA from 1 species